rnacentral:rRNA from 1 species
UGGCGGACGGGUGAGUAAUGUCUGGGAAACUGCCUGGUGGAGGGGGAUAACUACUGGAAACGGUAGCUAAUACCGCAUAACGUCGCAAAACCAAAGAGGGGGACCUUCGGGCCUCUUGCCAUCGGAUGUGCCCAGAUGGGAUUAGCUAGUAGGUGGGGUAACGGCUCACCUAGGCGACGAUCCCUAGCUGGUCUGAGAGGAUGAUCAGCCACACUGGGACUGAGACACGGCCCAG